rnacentral:rRNA from 1 species
UCGAGAAUCUUCGGCAAUGGGCGCAAGCCUGACCGAGCGACGCCGCGUGCGGGAUGAAGGCCUUCGGGUUGUAAACCGCUGUCAGUUGGGAGGAAAUGCAUAGGGGCUAUCCCCUGUGUUUGACCUAUCUUCAGAGGAAGAGCGGGCUAAGUUCGUGCCAGCAGCCGCGGUAAGACGAACCGCUCGAACGUUAUUCGGAAUCACUGGGCUUAAAGGGUGCGUAGGCGGUGCGGUAAGUCGGGUGUGAAAUCCCUCGGCUCAACCGAGGAACUGCGCCCGAUACUGCCGUGCUUGAGGAAGGCAGAGGUGAGCGGAACUGAUGGUGGAGCGGUGAAAUGCGUUGAUAUCAUCAGGAACACCGGUGGCGAAAGCGGCUCACUGGGCCUUUUCUGACGCUGAGGCACGAAAGCUAGGGUAGCGAACAGGAUUAGAUACCCGUGUAGUCC